AUUGAACGCUGGCGGAAUGCUUUACACAUGCAAGUCGAACGGCAGCACGGACUUCGGUCUGGUGGCGAGUGGCGAACGGGUGAGUAAUGUAUCGGAACGUGCCCAGCCGUGGGGGAUAACGUAGUGAAAAUUACGCUAAUACCGCAUACGAUCUAUGGAUGAAAGCGGGGGAUCGCAAGACCUCGCGCGAUUGGAGCGGCCGACAUCAGCUUAGGUAGUUGGUGGGGUAAAGGCCCACCAAGCCAACGAUCUGUAGCUGGUCUGAGAGGACGACCAGCCACACCGGAACGGAGACACGAUCCAGACUCCUACGGGGAGCAGCAGUGGGGAAUUGUGGACAGUGGGCGAAAGUAUGAUCCAGCUACUCCGCGUGCAGGAUGAAGGUCCUCGGGUUGUAAACUGCUUUUGUACAGAACGAAAAGGUUUCUACUAAUACUAGGAGCUCAUGACGGUACUGUAAGAAUAAGCACCGGCUAACUACGUGCCAGCCGCCGCAGUAA
rnacentral:rRNA from 1 species